rnacentral:tRNA from 1 species
GCGAGAGUGGCGGAACUGGCAGACGCGCUGGACUUAGGAUCCAGAGGGUCAUACCCGUGGGGGUUCGACUCCCCCCUCUCGCACCA